rnacentral:sRNA from 1 species
GCUCUGCCAACGCUACGGCUUGGCGGGCUGGCCUUUCCUCAAUAGGUGGUCAGCCGGUUCUGUCCUGCUUCGGCGAACACGUUACACGGUUCGGCAAAACGUCGAUUACUGAAAAUGGAAAGGCGGGGCCGAC